GACGAACGCUGGCGGCGUGCCUAAUACAUGCAAGUAGAACGCUGAAGGAGGAGCUUGCUUCUCUGGAUGAGUUGCGAACGGGUGAGUAACGCGUAGGUAACCUGCCUGGUAGCGGGGGAUAACUAUUGGAAACGAUAGCUAAUACCGCAUAAGAGUAGAUGUUGCAUGACAUUUGCUUAAAAGGUGCACUUGCAUCACUACCAGAUGGACCCGCGUUGUAUUAGCUAGUUGGUGAGGUAACGGCUCACCAAGGCGACGAUACAUAGCCGACCUGAGAGGGUGAUCGGCCACGCUGGGACUGAGACACGGCCCAGACUCCUACGGGAGGCAGCAGUAGGGAAUCUUCGGCAAUGGACGGAAGUCUGACCGAGCAACGCCGCGUGAGUGAAGGAGGUUUUCAGAUCGUAAAGCUCUGUUGUAAGAGAAGAACGAGUGUGAGAGUGGAAAGUUCACACUGUGACGGUAUCUUACCAGAAAGGGACGGCUAACUACGUG
rnacentral:rRNA from 1 species